rnacentral:rRNA from 1 species
GUGGGGAAUCUUCCACAAUGGACGAAAGUCUGAUGGAGCAACGCCGCGUGAGUGAAGAAGGGUUUCGGCUCGUAAAGCUCUGUUGUCGGGGACGAAUGUGCAGUAUUUGAAUAAAGUAGUGCAAUGACGGUACCUGACGAGGAAGCCACGGCUAACUACGUGCCAGCAGCCGCGGUAAUACGUAGGUGGCAAGCGUUGUCCGGAAUUAUUGGGCGUAAAGGGAGCGCAGGCGGGAAGGUAAGUCGGUCUUAAAAGUGCGGGGCUCAACCCCGUGAUGGGAUCGAAACUAUCUUUCUUGAGUGCAGGAGAGGAAAGUGGAAUUCCUAGUGUAGCGGUGAAAUGCGUAGAGAUUUGGAAGAACACCAGUGGCGAAGGCGACUUUCUGGACGAUGUCUGACGCUGAGGCGCGAAAGCUAGGGGAGCGAACGGGAUUAGAUACCCCUGUAGUCC